rnacentral:lncRNA from 1 species
GUUUCAUGAAAGUCUCAAAAGUUCUAGAAUUUUUAAUGUUUUAAUUAUGAAGUGCCAAUUCUCAUAGGAUUCUGGUAGAUCAGCUUUUCUGUCUUAAGGUUUUACCUUUGGUUUCCUUUCAUUUCAAGAUUUCAUCUUCUCUUAACUACUGGUAUUCUGCACACUGUCCUGGCGCAGACUCCCAGCCCAACAUCUCUGGGGCCACGUCUGCCCAGCAGCAGUAGCUUCUGAAACUGGUGCUCUUCCUCCUGUGUGGGCCAGGAGGGUUUGUGCUGGAAUGUAAAUCCCUCUGUUGCUUUUGCUCUUUCUUUAUAAAGAAAAAAGAAACACAACAAAAUGGGUUGCUUUACUCUUUUCUUUGUAUAAACAUCUUAAAAGUCCUGGAAAACAAUUUACAUGAUUGAUUUCAAAGAAAAAUUAGAAGAGCUGUGGCAUGAGUGAUACUCAAAAUAGAUUUAAAAUAUUUUCUCUCCAGAUUCUUUAAAAAAAUAUACACUCAGAUGGUAAAUGGAGCUACUACCAGCAUCAGUAAUGAUACAUACAUCUAGCCAGCUCUUUGCCACUUUGGGAAGUGCUUCUGCAUGCG